GAUUAACGCUGGCGGCGUGCCUAAUACAUGCAAGUCUAGCGAACGGACGAGAAUCUUGCUUCUCUUAUGUUAGCGGCGGACGGGUGAGUAACACGUGGAUAACCUACCUAUAAGACUGUGAUAACUUCGGUAGACCGGACCUAAUACCGGAUAAUCUUUUGAACCGCCUUGUUCAACAGCAAAACACGGUCUUGCUGUCACUUAUAGCUGGCUCCUAGCUGCUUUAGCUAGUUCGUAAGGUUACGGCUUACCAAGGCAACGAUGCAUAGCCGACCUGAGAGGGUGAUCGGCCACACUAGACAGGAGACACGGUCAAGACACCUACGGGAGGCAGCAGUAGGGAAACAUCCGCAAUGGGGGAAAGCCUGACGGAGCAACGCCGCGUGAGUGAUGAAGGUCGUCGGAUCGUAAAACUCUGUUAUUGGGGAAGAACAUAUGUGUAAGUAAAUGUGCACAUCUUGACGGUACCUAAUCAGAAAGCCACGGCUAACUACGUG
rnacentral:rRNA from 1 species